AUUGAACGCUGGCGGAAUGCUUUACACAUGCAAGUCGAACGGCAGCACGGGGCAACCUGGUGGCGAGUGGCGAACGGGUGAGUAAUACAUCGGAACGUGCCCAAUCGUGGGGGAUAACGUAGCGAAAGUUACGCUAAUACCGCAUACGAUCUACGGAUGAAAGCGGGGGAUCGCAAGACCUCGCGCGAGUGGAGCGGCCGAUGUCAGAUUAGGUAGUUGGUGGGGUAAAGGCUCACCAAGCCAACGAUCUGUAGCUGGUCUGAGAGGACGACCAGCCACACUGGAACUGAGACACGGUCCAGACUCCUACGGGAGGCAGCAGUGGGGAAUUUUGGACAAUGGGCGCAAGCCUGAUCCAGCCAUUCCGCGUGCAGGAUGAAGGCCUCGG
rnacentral:rRNA from 1 species